rnacentral:rRNA from 1 species
ACGCUCGACAUACGGGGGCAGCAGUGGGGAAUAUUGCGCAAUGGAGGGAACUCUGACGCAGUGACGCCGCGUAUAGGAAGAAGGUUUUCGGAUUGUAAACUAUUGUCGUUAGGGAAGAGAAAGGACAGUACCUAAGGAGGAAGCUCCGGCUAACUACGUGCCUGCAGCCGCGGUAAUCUGAGCGGGCUGGCAAGGC